AGGAUGAACGCUGGCGGCGUGCCUAACACAUGCAAGUCGAACGUCCUGUCUCGCAAGAGGCAGGGAGUGGCGGACGGGUGAGUACCACGUGGGUCAUCUACCGUGAGGUGAGGAAUACCGGCGAGAAAUCGCCGACAAGACCGCAUAGGCUCGAUGCAAGUCGAGCAAAGCUCUUUCGAGAGAGGGAGCGCCACACGAGGAGCCUGCGCCCGAUUAGCUAGCUGGUGGAGUAACGGUUCACCAGGGCGACGAUCGGUAGCUGGUCUGAGAGGACGAUCAGCCACACUGGGAUUGAGAACGGCCCAGACUCCUACGGGGGGCAGCAGUGAGGAAUUUUCGUCAAUGGGGGCAACCCUGAACGAGCAACGCCGCGUGCAGGAAGAAGGUUUCGGAUCGUAAACUGCUUUUCUCGGGAAGAGAAUGGACGGUACCCGAGGAAUCAGCCCCGGCUAACUACGUGCCAGCAGCCGCGGU
rnacentral:rRNA from 1 species